CCUGGCCCUCUAACGCUGGGCGGAGUUAGAGGCCUGGGUGGAGUUACCAGCUCCUGCCCAGAACUGAGCAGCACACACGUCAUCCCACCACCAUCUCCAACCAGGAAAAUGUUCAAAGUCAUGGAAUAGAACCACUGAAGUGCAUUUGGGAAUGAGGACUCUGAAAACCAUUUCAGUUCUGAGAAAGUGUGUAAUCAGGGAACAUAUAACUUUCAACAUUACAGUAGGUUGCAAGUGAAGAUUGACGAGGUUGGUGGCUGCAAAAUGCCGUUUCAAGUUUGCAGGCAUAAGCAAGAAUGGACUCCCCCACCUCGC